AAAAAUAAAAUAAAAAG
rnacentral:sRNA from 1 species